UACGUAGGGUGCGAGCGUUGUCCGGAAUUAUUGGGCGUAAAGAGCUCGUAGGCGGUCUGUCGCGUCGGUCGUGAAAACUUGGGGCUUAACCCUGAGCUUGCGGUCGAUACGGGCAUGACUGGAGUUCGGCAGGGGAGACUGGAAUUCCUGGUGUAGCGGUGGAAUGCGCAGAUAUCAGGAGGAACACCGAUGGCGAAGGCAGAUCUCUGGGCCGUAACUGACGCUGAGGAGCGAAAGCAUGGGGAGCGAACAGG
rnacentral:rRNA from 1 species